UCUUCGCAGGGCGCAGCCUACACAUGCAAGUCGAGCGGAACGAGUUAUCUGAACCUUCGGGGGACGAUAACGGCGUCGAGCGGCGGACGGGUGAGUAAUGCCUAGGAAAUUGCCCUGAUGUGGGGGAUAACCAUUGGAAACGAUGGCUAAUACCGCAUGAUGCCUACGGGCCAAAGAGGGGGACCUUCGGGCCUCUCGCGUCAGGAUAUGCCUAGGUGGGAUUAGCUAGUUGGUGAGGUAAGGGCUCACCAAGGCGACGAUCCCUAGCUGGUCUGAGAGGAUGAUCAGCCACACUGGAACUGAGACACGGUCCAGACUCCUACGGGAGGCAGCAGUGGGGAAUAUUGCACAAUGGGCGCAAGCCUGAUGCAGCCAUGCCGCGUGUGUGAAGAAGGCCUUCGGGUUGUAAAGCACUUUCAGUCGUGAGGAAGGUAGUGUAGUUAAUAGCUGCAUUAUUUGACGUUAGCGACAGAAGAAGCACCGGCUAACUCCGUGCCAGCAGCCGCGGUAAUACGGAGGGUGCGAGCGUUAAUCGGAAUUACUGGGCGUAAAGCGCAUGCAGGUGGUUUGUUAAGUCAGAUGUGAAAGCCCGGGGCUCAACCUCGGAAUAGCAUUUGAAACUGGCAGACUAGAGUACUGUAGAGGGGGGUAGAAUUUCAGGUGUAGCGGUGAAAUGCGUAGAGAUCUGAAGGAAUACCGGUGGCGAAGGCGGCCCCCUGGACAGAUACUGACACUCAGAUGCGAAAGCGUGGGGAGCAAACAGGAUUAGAUACCCUGGUAGUCCACGCCGUAAACGAUGUCUACUUGGAGGUUGUGGCCUUGAGCCGUGGCUUUCGGAGCUAACGCGUUAAGUAGACCGCCUGGGGAGUACGGUCGCAAGAUUAAAACUCAAAUGAAUUGACGGGGGCCCGCACAAGCGGUGGAGCAUGUGGUUUAAUUCGAUGCAACGCGAAGAACCUUACCUACUCUUGACAUCCAGAGAACUUUCCAGAGAUGGAUUGGUGCCUUCGGGAACUCUGAGACAGGUGCUGCAUGGCUGUCGUCAGCCUCGGUG
rnacentral:rRNA from 1 species